rnacentral:rRNA from 1 species
GAUGAACGCUGGCGGCGUGCCUAAUACAUGCAAGUCGAGCGAACGGACGAGAAGCUUGCUUCUCUGAUGUUAGCGGCGGACGGGUGAGUAACACGUGGAUAACCUACCUAUAAGACUGGGAUAACUUCGGGAAACCGGAGCUAAUACCGGAUAAUAUUUUGAACCGCAUGGUUCAAAAGUGAAAGACGGUCUUGCUGUCACUUAUAGAUGGAUCCGCGCUGCAUUAGCUAGUUGGUAAGGUAACGGCUUACCAAGGCAACGAUGCAUAGCCGACCUGAGAGGGGGAUCGGCCACACGGGAACUGAGACACGGUCCAGACUCCUACGGGAGGCAGCAGUAGGGAAUCUGCCGCAAUGGGCGAAAGCCUGACGGAGCAACGCGGCGUGAGUGAUGAAGGUCUGCGGAUCGUAAAACUCUGUUAUUAGGGAAGAACAUAUGUGUAAGUAACUGUGCACAUCUGGACGGUACCUAAUCAGAAAGCCACGGCUAACUACGU